UCCUCAGCUUCUGUCUGCCAAGGACGUGGUGGAUCCAAAGAAGUUUCUGAUGCAGAGUUAGCUUUGGAAGGAACUUCUUCUGCUCACUGUUUACAUGCUGGUGGUACUCUUGGUGUUUUGCCAACUGGAAAGAAGAUAGUUAGCAUGGGCAUUAUUCAUUCAUCAAUGCCAAAACACAAAAGGCUUAGACAACAAAAAAGAAUGCCCGUUUUUCAAUGGUCUAUUGAAGAAAAAUCAAAGGGGACAAAAGAUAAUACUCCCUCCAUUCCGAUUUACUCGUCGUGGUUUUAGUCUAAAUUUGAACUAAAACCACGACGAGUAAAUCGGAACGGACGGAGUAGUAUUUCUAAAGGUAUUUUUCUGGAGAUCCGACAUUAUCCAUUUCUUAUAUAUUUUUCCUGAAAAUAAGUAAAUAUAUUAAUUAGAAGUAUCAGGUAUAGAACUAUUCUAAAGUGAUUUUUAGUAUCACUAGCACCACCAACAAUUGGCAUGUGGGCUUGUUUUCCUUUGUAAGACGAUGAUGACAAAGUUAUCCCCGGGUCUGAGUGCCUCAAGUGUGCAUACAAUGGCUUACAUAUUAACUGAAUAUUGGGUUUGAUCUUCAGAGAAUUCUCAAUGCGUAGAGCAGUCCUCUCCAUAUUAACACAUAAAGCCCCAUUCCCUCCCAACACUGGCCGGUGGCGGAGCUUGGCAACGGUGGUGAUGUGGAGGCGAUGACCAUCAUGGAAGAGGGAAAUAUGCUGCUAGAUACUGAUGUUGAUUGCAACGACUCCAUGACAUUGUAACGAGGGGAUACCGCAAUGGACAAGGCAGAAAUCUUGUUCAGAGGGACAAUGCCCACGGGUGACUGCGGUGUGAGCUGGUGUUGUCCUGUCAUGGCAAUAGGGACGCAGAGGCAAGGUGGAGGCCAGAGAUGGCAUGGAGAAAAAUUAUGACGAGCAAAGCAGUGACAUUGUACAGUAACACGGUCAUGUGUGUGGCCUCUGCGCAGCAGCGACAGGUAGCCAUCGGAGCAAGGACAACGGCGCACACACAUGUUUAUGAUGCUGCUCGAGGCCACAGGGCCAACCAGGAUUUGUUAUUCCUUCAAAGUGAUAUGAAAACGAAGAUUCUACUUGUAUAACUAAAGUUUGAUCUUCAGUCCUACUCCCUCCGUCUAGGUACAUCCAUUUGAGCGCCAACUAAUUCCGGACGGAGGAAGUACACAACACAUCCUUUUUAGCGGAAUAAAAGGCCACAACUUCACCACAUAUGAGUGUAACUAAAUCUCAUGUUUCAUGCUCUAACUUUUGUACUAAAUUUUUGUUAGAUACAGGCAGUGGCGGGUGGCGGAAUAGCAAGGCAUCCAGUCAGAUGACAUGGGUCGAUGGGGAGUUGGUGGCUCUUGACUACAACAAAGAUCAUCGAGGCAAUCUAUAUUGAUAUGAACGAGAAUCCAGAAUAGGCUCUUAAGGCAGCAAGGGUGUUUGGCGCCUGGAGGAGCGUCCGGGUUCAAGGAUCUGGCCCCCGCCAUCGAGAUGUAUGGGGUCGUCGCCGAGUACAUCUGGUUAUGAGAGAGAUGGAUAUGAAUUAUGUUGACGUUCAAAAAGAAAGCAUCGACAAGGGACAAUAUUGAUGAAAGGGGCAAAAAAUUAACAAAAUUUUAAGUAUAUAUGUGCAAUCAGAAAAAAAUUAUUUAAAAGGCCUGUAGCAACUCAUGCAAGGUGCUCUCACGGGUGUAGGUUUGUCCAUCGCCAUUUGACUUUAUAACCGUGCAAGACAGUUGACAGCAGAUCGCUUAUGGUAGGACCUAGCUAUUACCAAUGAUUUAUACUAUCAAAUGCAGUGUCAGUGAAUGGUGUUCCUUUAUCAUGGUUGAAGGUUGCACGUCUUCUGCUAGGUUCAUUGAUACUUCUCGGUAUGUACUUGAAUGUUUCUUACCUAAUUUUUUAGUGGCUACUAUUCUUAGUGGACAGAU